UCUCUGCGUGACAACAUUAUCCCUGCCUGUGGCUUUGUGCUGUGACCGUAUAUGCAAGAAUCGAAUUUAUUUUUCGCUGCAAGGUGAUGAGUGCAUCGUCUCGGCGGAGUUUUAAAUUUACUUUAACAAGAAGGACGCGUUCCUGUUUUGUUAUAAUUCUGCAGACGGUUCUGAUUCCUGACGAUUGUCCUCAGCGUGAUGUACGUGGAUACGCCGCACAUUAUUGACUAUGACGGGGCAAAAGUAAUAUUCAUAAUAGCUUUGAAAAUGCUGAGAUGGAGAAAUUGUGAAGAUGAACCAAUGCAACUAUUAUUCAGCUAGCUGAUGGAAAUUUACGAUCCGCAGCAAAUCGAUUCGGACAACGAAUUCAGUUGAGGAUAAUGCAACAACUGUUGAGGCCGAAAUUGAGGCAUCAUUAAGAUUUAUGAGACAAAGCAAUUAACUUCGCAGAAAAUAGAAAAGUUGAGCAAUAUCUGGAAAACAAUUUCGCGAAAAAGCACGAAGACGACUGGAAAGAAAGGAUGUAUUCAAACUAUUAUUCACAGUACACGAAUAGAAAACUAAUCCCGUACUCGCCAAGUAUCGCUCCACCGCCAAAACCAAAAAACAAAUGUAAUACUGCUGAUGUCGAAGUUGAAGUACGCCUAGCAGUGGGAUGAUCUACACCUACGAUUUUAUUCUAUUAAUGUCCGUAUGGUGGUGCGUCAGAAUCUGGAGUAGCUUACGAGAGCGAAGCUUUUGCUAAACAAGCAGUGCCAACAAGAUUCUCUACAGUGUACAACGGUGCCGCCGUCGUCGAGAGAUUAAGAGGGAGACAAAACAAAAUCGAACUACCAAAACGUUCCGGAUUCCUGGCCACUUCGCGGCAAAAGAAGAAAAGUACAAAUUACACGCGAGCCGGAAUGUAAUAUACUGUCUUUUCCUUAUGUAAUAAAAUAAGCAAA